rnacentral:lncRNA from 1 species
ACUACAUUAAAAUCUUAUCUAAUUUAGAAAAAAAAGCAUCGUACAUAUAAAUGAACAAGCUUUUGAACUUAAUGAAAAAGGAACAUCAAUUCAAAAGAAAAAAAAAGGACUAGCCUCCUUGACUGUAGUAGUUCACCGCUUUUGGGAGUCAUUAAAACAGUUGAUAACUAAUGCCAGUCAGGUAUAUACAAAGUUUAUUACGUUAUUGGAUGCAUAUCUUUUAAAAGUUGGUGGGAUUUCUUUGAAGAAAAACAUAAAAAUAUGGUAGAAAGUCUGAUGUCGUAAAAAGUUAUGUUCAGCUUCAACAUUAAAGAGAUCAAACGCCAUCAUAAGAUAAAGUGUCAAAACAGUAACAGAAAAAAGGUGUUUUGAAAAAGAGAUCAAACGCCAUGAUAAGAUAAAGUGUCGACAUAGUAACGGAAAAAAGGUGUUUUGAAAAAUUAAACCUUUUUGAACAGUUAAAAAAGGUAUUUCGUAAUUUUAAAAAAAAAGUUGGCAUUAGAAAAUGAUCAUUACAAAGAACGCUCUAAAUUGAAGUUUUUUUUAAAAAAAAAAUUUUUUUACUGGAAAGUUUGAAACUCUAUUUAAAACCGUUUUUCAAAAGACUUUUCAUAGAAACUGUACAUGAUGUCAAACUUUUGUAUGUUUAUUUUUAAAAUUUGAUGUUAAUAACUCUUAUGUUAAA